rnacentral:rRNA from 1 species
GACGAACGCUGGCGGCGUGCCUAAUACAUGCAAGUAGAACGCUGAAGCUUGGUGCUUGCACCGAGCGGAUGAGUUGCGAACGGGUGAGUAACGCGUAGGUCACCUGCCUGGUAUCGGGGUAUAACUAUUGGAAACGAUAGCUAAUACCGCAUAAUAGUAGCUGUUGCAUGACAUGUGCUUAAAAUGUGCAAUUGCACCACUACCAGACGGACCUGCGUUGUAUUAGCUAGUUGGUGAGGUAACGGCUCACCAAGGCAACGAUACAUCGCCGACCUGAUAGGGCGAUCGGCCACACUGGGACUGAGACCAGGCUCAGAGUCCCUAGGGAGGCACCAGGAGGGAAACGUCGGACAUCGGCGGAAGUCAGAACGCGAAACGCCGCGGGAGUGAACAAGGUCUUCGGAUCGUAAAGGUCUGUUUUAAGAGAAGAAAGAGUGUGCGAGUGGAAAGUUGCCACUGUGACGGUAUCUGACAAGAAAGCAACGGCUAACUACGUG